rnacentral:rRNA from 4 species
CGGGUGUGUAAGCGCAGCGAUGCGUUGAGCUAACCGGUACUAAUGAACCGUGAGGCUUAACCUUACAACGCCGAAGGUGUUU